rnacentral:rRNA from 1 species
AAUAGAUACCCGGGUAGUCCAUGCCGUAAACGUUGGGUGCUAGACGUGGGGGCCUUUCCACGGUUUCCGUGUCGUAGCUAACGCAUUAAGCACCCCGCCUGGGGAGUACGGCCGCAAGGCUAAAACUCAAAGGAAUUGACGGGGGCCCGCACAAGCGGCGGAGCAUGCGGAUUAAUUCGAUGCAACGCGAAGAACCUUACCAAGGCUUGACAUAUAGAAGAAACGGCCAGAGAUGGUCGCCCCGCAAGGUCUCUAUACAGGUGGUGCAUGGUUGUCGUCAGCUCGUGUCGUGAGAUGUUGGGUUAAGUCCCGCAACGAGCGCAACCCUUGUCCUAUGUUGCCAGCGGUUCGGCCAGGAACUCAUGGGAGACUGCCGUGGUCAACACGGAGGAAGGUGGGGAUGACGUCAAAGUCAUCAUGCCCCUUAUGUCUUCGGGCUUCGACGCAUGCUACAAUGGCCGGUACAGAGGGCUGCGAUACCGCGAGGUGGAGCGAAUCCCUUAAAGCCGGUCUCAGUUCGGAUUGGGGUCUGCAACUCGACCCC